UCCGCCUAACAAUAAUUAUUUUCAUAUUGUUUGUUUGCUUUCUAGGUCGUGAUAUAAGUUGAUAGAAAAAUGAGCCUCGCAAAUAGUGCUUCAUAGAGGUGAAUUCCAUCCAGAUUUCCGAUCCACAAAGAAGCUCAAAAUAGAUGUCCAGCCGUUAAUUGAUACUCUAGUCGGUCUGCAUAUUAUAUGUUAAUAGAAGAAUGCGUCUCUCAAAUAGUUCUUCAUAGAGGCGGAUGUGAUCCAGAUCUUCGAGCCACAAAGAGGUUCCAAAUAGAUGUCCAGCCAUUAAUUGAUACUCUAGUCUCGGACUGCAUAUUAUAAGUUGAUGCGUCUCUCAAAUAGUACAAAGAUUCACCAAAGAAGAUCCACAAAGAGGUUCCAAAUAUAUGUCCAGUCGUUAAUUGAUACUCUAGUCGUACUGCAUAUUAUACGUUGAUAGAAGAAUUCGUCUCUUAAAUAGUACUUCAUAGAGGCGGUAGCGAUCCAGAUUUCCGAGCCAAAAAGAAGUUCCUAAUAGAUGUCCAGACGUUAGACUCUAGUCGGAGUGCAUAUUAUAAGUUGAUGCGUCUCUCAAAUAGUACAAAGAUUUACCAAAGAAGAUCCACAAAGAUGUUCCAAAUAGAUGUCCAGUCGUUACUUGAUACUCUAGUCGGACUGAAUAUUAUAAGUUGAUGCAUCCCUCAAAUAAUAUUUCAUGGAGGCAGAUUCGAUCCAGAUUUCCGAGCCACAAUGAGGUUCCAAAUAGAUGUUAAUUGAUGCUCUAGUCGGACUGCAUCAACCUGUUC